ensembl:lncRNA novel transcript
GGGAGAGUUCUGGAUGACUUCUCUGAACAGCAUGGGGUCAAGGAUGACUGCCAAGACAUCAGAUGUCAUCACACCUGCCUUUCUCCUGGAUGUCUUUUCUUAUCAUUACAGUUGAAAUGCAAGAGAAACCCUAAAAGAAAUGUGAAGCUGAGAAGGACACAGCUCUCUGACCAUGACCACAGGAAGUGUGAUAGGACAGAAAUACAAUGGCUGUCAAAGAAGAAAACUCUACAUUACUGUCACCUAGAAAGACAGUGGGAUAAAUGAUGUAUAUAUUCUGUGGAAUUGUUUCCCUGAAUCCUCAGAACAGACUUAUGAGGGCCUAUGAAGAUAAGCAGGGCCUAAGAUGAUGAAGAUCUAAUCUUUCAUUGGAAGACACUUGGGUGAUGCUAUAGGAUAAUGAAGAUUUCAUCUUCCGUUGGAGGAUACCUCAGAUGUCCAGAUCUUUAGGUCUUUUCUUUUAGGCUUUGGCUGUAUCUAGCAUAUCUCAAUCCAGAAACUUUCUGGUCCACAUUCUGCACAGUACACUUAACUCAGGUGGCCUGCUGAGGUCCUCAAAGGGGUCCUGUAGCUGAACUGGAAAAUGGAAAAGGCCGAAGCCAUUCUUCUUUCUGAGAGAACAUGGACUUCAAUUCACCAUCUUAAUUCAGAAGUAUAAUGAUUUAAGAAGGCUCAGCUGCAGAUAUGUAAAGAGAGAUUUGCAAAAGCAUAAUCAAGUCAAGUCAUGGCAAGGUCAUAAGAAGCAGUCACAAAAGCAGCAGUAAUUUGAGUGCGAAUGGCAGUUUUCAUCAUGACUAUGCCCGUUCACAGGGACUCUUUGAAACAGAAGUUUGGUUGGAAGCAUUUCCCAUUCUGCUUGUGGCAGGGCAUGAAAGGGGCACAGAGGCUAUGGAUGCAUUGUUCCCCAGGCCCAGGCUCCUUCCUGGCUGUGUGAUGAUGGGCAAGUUGCUGGCCUCUCCAGUUGUGUCUUUGGAAAAUAGAUGUAAUUGCACCUACCUCAUUGGGUUAUGCAGAAGAUGAAUGAGAUCAUGCAUGAGAGUCCCUAGCACAGUGCCUGGCACACAGUCCCUCCCAUCAACAGUAGUUGAAGCUCAUUCCCUCACAGCCGUUAGAAUCAAUUGUGGGCCUAGAGGGCUUUCAUUUUGUCUCUGCUUACAGUUCUUUGCCCCGCUGGAAAAGGAGUUAGAAAGAAAGAAAAAUAAAACAAUAAAUCACAUAGGCUGUA